ACAGUACAAACUGAGCAGGCAGUGAACAGUGAUGUUCAUGUGGUCGGGCCUAAGGGCAACGGAUGAAUUGACAUCUGUGGGACAGU
rnacentral:ncRNA from 1 species